AGACAUCUACCGCCCUACAGACAUGGUGAAAAACACCCUCUGCCCAACGGACAUGGUGCAAGACACUCGCUGCCCUACAGACAUGGUGAAAAACACCAUUUGCCUGCCAGACAUGGUGCAAGACACCCGCUGCCUUGUAAACAUGGUGAAAAACGCCCUCUGCCCUGUAGACGUAGCGUAAGAUGCCCUCUGCCUUACAGACAUAACAUAACCAC
rnacentral:lncRNA from 1 species